rnacentral:SRP_RNA from 1 species
GCUGGGCAUAGUGGCAUGUGCCUGUGGUCCCAGCUACUCUCUGGAGGCUGAGGUGGGAGAAUUGCUUGAGCCCAGGAGUUCCAGGCUGCAGUCAGCCAUGAUCACACCACUGCACUCCAGCCUGGGCAACAGAGUGAGCCCUCAUCUCAA